AAUAACAGAGUUGAAAGUGGACU
rnacentral:piRNA from 1 species